rnacentral:rRNA from 1 species
AUCGGAAUUACUGGGCGUAAAGCGCGCGUAGGCGGUUACGUAAGUUGGGUGUGAAAUCCCCGGGCUCAACCUGGGAAUUGCACUCAAAACUGCGUGGCUAGAGUGUGGGAGAGGAAGGUAGAAUUCCAGGUGUAGCGGUGAAAUGCGUAGAUAUCUGGAGGAAUACCGAUGGCGAAGGCAGCCUUCUGGCCUAAAACUGACGCUGAGGC